AAACACACAUUAAGUCAUUGCUCCAUGCUGUAUUACACUGACUCUAUCCGUUUCCAAGCACACACUUUGGCAUGGCUCCAUGCUUCACUACAUUGACUGUAUCCAAUUCCAAGCACAGAUUGUGUCAUUGCUCUGUGCAGUAUUAUGCUGACUGUAUCCAGUGCCAAGCACAUACUAUAGCAUUGCUCCAUGCUAUUCUAUGCUGAUCUUAUCCACAUCCAAGUAUCCAUUACAGCAAUGCUCUGUGCUGUUCUACGCUAACUGUAUCCAGUUCCAAGCACACAUUACAUCAGUGCUCCAUGUCAUUCUAUGCUGACUGUAUCCAAUUCCAAGCACAUAUUACAGAAAUGCUCCAUGCUAUUCUAUGCUGACCGUAUCCAAUUCCAAGUACACAUUACCUCAUUGCUCCAUGCUGUUCCUUGCUGACUAUAUCCAAUUCCCAGCACAUAUUAUGUUAUUGCUCCAUGCUGUUCCACGCUGAUUGUAUUGAAUUCCAUCCACAUAUUUUGUCAUUACUUUGUUCUGUACUACUCUGACUACUCAGUUCCAAGCACACAUUAUGUUAGUGCUCCAUACUGUUCUAUGCUGACUGUAUUCAAAUCCAAAUACGCUUUACAUCAUUGUUCCAUGCUGUUGUGUGCUGACUAUAUAGCCAGUUCUAAGCUAACAUGAUGACGUUGUUCCAUGCUGUGCUACACUGAGUGUAUCCAGUUCCAAGACACAUGACAUCUUUGCUGUGCACUACUAUGAUGACUAUCCUGUUCCAGCACUGCCUCCGGAUCCUGACUGUAAUCUAUAAAACUCUGGGGUAACCUUUUCCUUCUGCAAGCCAAGACAAUUGCUCUCAAUGGGAAUUGUGUGUGAUGGUCUCCAGAGUACCCACCCAUCCUCUGACUUACAGGACAUCCCUUAUAGGGUGCCUACGUUCCACCAACUGUGUCCGAGAGCUGGUGGUCACUUGGUCUCUGGGUGAGAUACUUGGGAGCUGUGCAGGAUGAUCUCAAGGAGCCUCUCAGCUGUGGAAUUCCCUAUCAGCAGAGACAGGGAACCAAGGUGAACACACCAGACGGACCAAGAACCCUGAACUCUCUGACCAGGAACCAUCAACAGGAACCUAGAGCCACUGCUCAGGAACUCGCCAUCAGGAACAGCUCCGCCAAAGACAGGAUCAGGAACGAUGUAGAUUCCUGCAGAAGUGGAGUCCAGUUGAAGAGACACAGAUGGGAUUUGGGGGCAAAGGAGCUGCAGAACUGGCAAGACUGGAGCAGGACAAAAAGUAACAAGUGGCAAGAUUCAGGAGUUGGAUGUACUAUAAAUGCGAUCCACUCAAAUCAUUAGUGUGCGUAUGGCGAUCACAUGGCAAGAUUGUAUAAUCAUCCCUGAGGUUUUAAAAUGGGUCCUUCCAUAUCCUUUUGAAUAAUGCCCAUUUAUCUGUUUGAAAUUACAUCAAUGUUAAUGGACAGGUAUGUAAACAGCUUUUACAAAAUAUUUCCUAAGUUACUGAUACCAGAUUUUAGACCAGAUAUGAUUGUCGUGAUUAAAUACCGUUCUUUUCCUCCUGUGUGUGAAUAAUCAACACAAGACUGGUAUAGCCAGUUGUGCUCUCUAAACCAUUCUGACUUCUUGACUACUGCUUUCAGACCACUUUUAUUUUAAAUCCAGGUCGAACACUAUGGUGGACACUAUCACUUUUCACAGACAAAACUUUAAAGUACAUUGUUGAAUUGCAUUUAUUAUGCAAUAUGUUUUGUACUCAACUUAGUACUAGAGUAUUUUACAAGAAUAAAAUAGUGCCACAAUGGUGUCA
ensembl:lncRNA